UCUUCUAUUGCUAGUGUCUGUGUAUCCUCUCAAAGCAAUUGAAGUUAAAAGCAAUUCAACAGAGUGAAAAUGCAGAGCGGGAAGAAUGCAGUGGGGGCUGCGAAGGAAUCGGCAGCCAACGUAACCGCGUCCGCUAAGGCUGGCAUGGAGAAGACCAAGGCCUCCCUAACGGGGGCUGGGGCUGGCACUGGCACUGGCACUGGCACUGGCACUUGCACUGAUACAGGCACAGGCACAGGCACAGGCCAUCCCACCGGAACCAACCCGAUUUCAUCAGCCUUGCCUGGACAUGGCGCUGGCCAGCAUGUGGUGGGGUCGCAACCCACUGGCACGGGCACUGGCACUGGUGGCACAGGAAGAACCGACAAAUACUAAGUUUAAUGUAUUUGUACUGUGUUUUUUUUUUACUCCGUCUGUGUGUGUUUUUCCCGCAUUUAAGGUGUGUUUUCUGGCUGACCUUACAUGCUAUUAUGCUAACGUUGUAGUUGGGUGUUCCGACGUUUGAAGUAGAAUAAUAUGAUAUGCAUGGGUUUGUAAUGCUAUAUUACACCACAAUCUCACUACUAUAUUGACAACUGACAAGGGUAGAUUGAUAAUUUAUUCCACAAAUUCUCUAUUACGAUUCGUUGCUUAAAAUGAAAAAAAUAUGAUCAUUUUUAGCUUUUAAAUAUUCUAGCAAAGGAUUAAAGAAUAGAGGACAAUGACAUCCUUGGAUAUUAUGUAUACUGGAGCUUUUACUAAAACGUAGUAAAGUUUGUUUCCAAAUUUUGGCGGGCAAAAUCGAUCUAGUUAAGUCCAGAAGUUGCGAAAUGGCUUCUCUCUCUUUUUCAUGCUCAACUGAUCAAGCAGGGUGUUUUUUCUGUUCAAGCAGCGGUGUUCCAUGGCUCUGAUGGCAGAAUUAUCAAGGCUAUUUCUCAUAUUAGCUCCCUUGUUUUCCCGCCUAUGGGGAGCCACUACAGGCAUUUUUGAUGGCUUCCUUGACAGUCACCCUAAAGCUUCCUUCCAGUUUUCAUUUUAGAAGGCGACUCUCCAAUGGUUAUUAUAAGAUAGCUAAAAUUUCAAAAGUGUGAAUUUUACUCAUUCACCCCUCUCUCUCUAUGAUUAUAUCCCAAUUAGUAAAUUGUGAAAGAUUCGUAUGGUUGUUUGCUUUUAAUGUACUUUAGAAAAAGAAGAAAAAAAAAGUCCAAACCUGUGCCUAUAUACUAACGUUAUCGGAUAUUUAUACGAUACUUGUUAAUUCUAUUUCGGGUCGUGUGGACCCUAAUUCGAUCUAUUUAAAUAAAUAAUUUAAAUUUAUCGACCUUAAGCCUUUAGUUUCGUAAAAAAAAUUUGAGCAACUUUAUGGGAUGUUUUAUAGGAUAAGAUAUUUGUUAGAUAUGUAUAGGAUAUUGUCGACUCUGAGUUGAAAGGAGAUAAGGGCGGGUUAAAUGAUGACCAUCCAACGGACACAAUACUCGUAGCAAUUACUUCCCCUUUCAUGGCAGAGAAACGGACAAGAGAGCAAUUACUCCCCCCCUUCGCGGCAGAUAGAGAAUGAAAAUAUCUCCGUGACGCGUCCGUGAUGUCACAUAAGAAGAACCCCGAACGUUCUGUAGAGUUGCCACGUGUCUCCACGUGAGAGGUCCUGAAAGCCUAUUUAAUCAGGAGCCAGUAACAAGCUUUUCCAUUGCUAGUGUGUGUAUCCUCAAAGCAAUUAAACAGAGAAGAGAAGAAGAGAAAAAUAGUGAAAAUGGACGCAGGGAAGGAAACGGCAGCCAACUUAACGGCCUCCGCUAAGGCUGGCUUGGAGAAGACCAAGGCCACCAUAGAUGAGAAGUUGGAACUGAUGAAAGCCAAAGAUCCAGCGCAGAAAGAAGUGGCGACCAAAAAGAAGGAGGAGAGGUUCACUCAAGCUAGUCACGAAGAGAAGGAGGCGCAUGCCCGCAACGCCGCUACCAAAGAGGCGGGAAAGGCUGGCAAUCCCACCGGAAUCCACCCGACGUCAGGCUUGCCUGGACAGGGCACCGGCCACUGAUGACUGACCCAAUGUGUGGUGGGGUCGCACCACGUUGUGACCCACACCGGCACCGGCAGUACUGGAAGGACCAACAUAUCUCAUUAUUAUUGUUCGAUCUAUGCUUGUUUUCUUAUUUUCUCCGUCUGUGUUUUGUGUUUCCCGCAUUUAAGGUCUGUGUUCUGGAUGACCUUACUUGCUAGUUGACCUUGUAGUUGGGUGUUCGUUCCAUUUGAAUAAGAAAACAAUGAUCAUGAAAUGUUGAAAAGUGCA